GAGGAAAAGAAUAUACAAGCAAUACCUAAAAUAAGUUUGCUAUUCAAUUUACUGCUAAACUGGUAUGACAUCAUUCUUUGAUGCAUCAUCACAUCUCAAAACAAUACCCUCAAGGCUAGCUGGAAAGAUACAUUUGGCCCACUGACAUCCUGUCGUGAUCGGCUAAGGGGCAGGAACGAUCAUCAUCACAUUGUCAUUUCUCUGGACAACUCCCAUUACGCUGACUGUGCUUCCUUCGUCGUCAUUAUCAUCUUUGUUGUUCUUGACUGACCCGAGCAGACUUGGAGGAUGCUGCUGAGUUGUUUUUGUUUUAUUGUAGUUACUGUUGUUGGUGGUGCUGGUGAUGGCUAAUGGUGUGGAUGAGGAAGAUGGGUCUUAGGACCCAGGAAAAGAAGAACAUGGAGAAUUGGGAAUUAGGGCUGGGAAUCAGUGAGAGAGAGGAAAUGCAAAAUUGAAGUUUCAUCUUAGAUAGAGAAGAGAAGAAGAAGAAGCGAAGAAGAAAGAAAAUUUUUGAGAGAGAGAGAGCAGAGACCAAUUUCACACGACAAAAGAUUGGGAUUCUUAGAGCCAACAAAGGUUAGACCUUUUGUGUUCCUA
rnacentral:lncRNA from 1 species